AAAGCAAUUCAGGGAGAAGUGGAACCUGGUUACACCACACCUCCCUAAGCCUCAUUUAAGGGCUGACCCCCAUAUGGGGGAGGUUAGUUUGUUUGGGGAUCCAUUUUUGGAUGUUUGGCUGGCUCUGGUCUUUGGGACAGGUGAGAAACAUGCUGUCCUCAGCCAAACGCCCGCUCUCACGCGUUAUUUGAACAGUUUCCUAAACAUCUCUCUGCAAAGUCCUGUAAUGAAAGGAGUGGUUUCCCUUGGCUCCCUUCCCAGACCUACCCAACAGAAGGAUGCUGACCUAAGGCUGUUAAACACUUUGAUGUAUGGCCGCGUCUCCUUAAGUAGAAGAUCCAUAUUCUUAAGCUAAGCUGCCAUGACACGGGGACAUUAUGAACUCUCUGAACCAACUGAAUCCUACAAAUGAGCCAUUAGUUGGCUGCAUGGCGCGUUGGCUCCCUGUGCCCGAGGGGGCUCCUGUUAAAGAAGAUAAUUGUUGCUGUCCACACGCCCUGCAGGCUGCUGCGUGUUCAUUUUAAUGCAAUUUGUUUCAGCCAACCCCUUCCCAAGUCC